CCAAGCCAUUUAGAAGGCUUGUAUUCUCAAGUAUGUACAUUACAAUGAUGGCUCCAGGGUUGGAGAGAUGGCUCACCGGUUAAGAGACUGCUCCUCCAAAAUUCCUGAGUUCAAAUCCCAGCAACCACAAGGUGGCUCACGACCAUUCGUAAUGAGAUCUGACACACCCUUCUGGUGUGUCUGAAGACAGCUACAGUGUACUCACAUACAAUAAUAAAUAAAUCUUUAAAAAAAACAAACCAAAAAAACAAAUUAAAAAAAAAAAAUCCAACGAUGGCUCAACAUUAGUUCCCAGCAUCCAGAAGACAGGAAAACACAGAGAUGCCGGUUAGCUAUUUCCUGAACUUCAGCCUUGUCACUCCAAGGGUGUUUUGUUUUGUUGUGUGUAUAUGGGCGACACCACGACCUGUGACCUGGGAGAUGCUAUGGAGGUGGCCACACCUCCAUAUGUAUGUGGGGACCACACCACACUCCGUAGCAGCCAGAGGCAGGAGAAACAGCACUGCAGGGAAGCCAAGGCCUGUGAGGUCCGGCGCUAGGACCCAGAGGCCGAGAGGGGAGCAGCCCCCGCAGGGCGGUGGGAACUGCUCAUGUACGGCCUCCCAAGACUCUGCUGGGCAUUUCACAGACAGAAACCAUCAUGGGACCUCCCUCAACUUCUUGCCACAUCACCUAGGAGGCUACCCACAUCAGCAGUAUCCUUUUCCUGCCUUCUCUCCAACCGGUUUCUGCUUGUCAUCUGUUCGCACUUCUCUGCACCUCACCUCCGGCAGUCCCUUCCCCUGCCUCCUGGAGGCCUGUGCCUGCCUGCCCUUCUGACAAAGGACUUUUAGGCACCCUAGGCUCUGCCCCCCCAAGCUGGCACUGCUUCCCUGAACUGAGGACAAGGUCAAGCCCCUGCCUUGGGUCCUACGCUCACUUGUGUGGCUGCCCUAGAUUCUGCUGUCUGUGCCUCUGACGUCUGGGCGCCACCCUCCUGCCUCUGCCGUCUCUCUGGUAACCCACUGCCAGUCACUUUCCCGGCACCAGUCUCUGCCUACACAUGCUUGGUGGCAGUUCCUGGAGAACCCUGCUGGGUACAAUCCUCUGCCUAUUUCAUGGGCUUUCUGGACAGUGUCAUCUGUAUCCUGCCACGGAUUUUCUUGUGUGCUGGCGGAUGGAACACAGGCCCUCAUGCCUUCCAGAUAGUAAUUGUGCCACUGAGUUACACUUCUUAGCUUCCUGUGGCUUACCAAUCACCUCUAGGCUGCUGAAUCAGGAACCCGAGUUACAGCCCGUUCUCCUAGACCCUAGUCUUACAGUCAUGGAAGCUUCCUUAACCUGCUCCUGUCUGUGAACCCUCGUCUUAGCCGAUGGUAUUACCUGACACGAGAAAUCUGCCUGCCCUAAGUGAGGCAAAUUCCACCAACCACCAAGUCCUUCCCAGUACUCUCUGGAGCAGCUCCUGGAUGAGAUCCACCCCCAGUCUUCAACACCAGGGGCAGCCAUUUCUGACUCCAUCUCCCCCCCACCGCCGGUGUUCUACCACGCCCUCAACUCAGCUCCGCAUCAGGACUGGAUGGAGGCUGGCAUUUCCCCUCCUCAGAGGCUCCCACAGUCUCUGAGAGGCCUACGUUCACCCCCUCAGAGAGCUCGAGGGUGUUGGUCUCACUGCGGAACCACCCAUGCCAAGGCGUCUGGAGCCCACAAAGCACGGCCCUUGCUUACCCAAGGGACUCCGACACACUGGAUUCCCUUCUAGCAAGUUCUCUUCCCCACCUGCUUUUCGCUCAGGUCUGGGUCUAACCAUACCUCUCCUGCAAAGCGUUCAGACCCAUGUCCCAGAUGGACCCCUCCUCUCUGCUGUGAUAUAUUACAGCACCCCGGAACUUUCUACUUAAGUUCCUUUGCUGUGUAUGCUAUGUCUAUAGACUCCGGAGCUGGGAACUAUGUCUUGCUCAGCACCACAACCUAUCAUCCGACAGACCUAGAGGCUGAGUUAGUGCUCAGUGUGUGCUGAGGAGCCGCCUUCCUCUCCCCUCCCCUCCCUUCCCCUUCCCUCCCCUCCAGGAAGCACUCAUCAACACAUCGCAUCAUUACCUGCUCUGGCCAGCAUGUUAUAAUAGUGACAUACGCCGGCUUGGGAAAGCAGCUCAGGGAGACUGGACAGACUGGAAAACUAAUGUGUGAAGCAGAGCCUGGCUGGUGGAUGCUGACCCAGGGCACUGCUAUGCCACUUGCGUGUGGGCCGGAAGCCACCAGCAUCACUGGCUUUGGCUCUCUGCAGGGAUGCAAUGGCGUCCACAUGGCUGCUUUGGAGGUUUCGAUGUUUCAAUUUAUACCCAUCAGCGUAGCAGCGGGGAGGACAGGCUCUGGCUAAGUUGGUCUUGCUUCUGUCCCUUCUUACCUCAGACCCCUCGUACCCCGCUGUGGAUUUUUGCAUUGGAAAUGACUAGUGGUUUUUAGAUUAGAGAAAUGUUUCAGAAUAUAGCUUAGCAGAGAGAGCUUGUUUAGUCAAGGCAAGGCCCCAGCUCAAUCCUGUUGUGAAAUGCCCCUCACAGGCCUGUGUUUUGAGCACUGGCUGGCAGUGCUGUUUUGGAAGGUUGUAGAACCUUUUGGACAUAAGGCCUGGCUGGUAGACGUUAGGCUGUAGGCGUGGCCUGUGGGUAUUAUGGACUCACUUGGCUCCUAGUCUGGCUGUUUUCUAGCUGCCAUGUAACUGGCAGUUGUUACAUACUCCCAAAGUCAUAGACCAGGUCUGGCCCACGUCUUCCCUGCCAUGGUGUCCCCUAAACUGUACUGAGGACUAAAAUAAACCUCUCUCUACUUAAAUGAA